UCAAAUUAAUCAGUGGUCAUUAUUAGUAAUCCACACUUAUCUCAUUUAUCCAAUCAAAAUUGAGAUUUAAUUAAUAUUAUUAUUAAAGAAAAUCUGAAAAUAAAUAAAAUAAAAAUAUAUAUAUCUCUCUUGAAUGGACAGACUCCAACUUUAAUAAAAAAAAAGGAUCUUAUCUUAGUAAAAUUGAGAUUUAAUUAAUAUUAUUAUUAAAGAAAAUCUGAAAAUAAAUAAAAUAAAAAUAUAUAUAUCUCUCUUGAAUGGACAGACUCCAACUUUAAUAAAAAAAAAGGAUCUUAUCUUAGUAAAAAAAAAAAAAAAUUACACCAAAGA
rnacentral:lncRNA from 1 species